GAUGAACGCUGGCGGCGUGCCUAAUACAUGCAAGUCGAGCGAACAGACGAGGAGCUUGCUCCUCUGACGUUAGCGGCGGACGGGUGAGUAACACGUGGAUAACCUACCUAUAAGACUGGGAUAACUUCGGGAAACCGGAGCUAAUACCGGAUAAUAUAUUGAACCGCAUGGUUCAAUAGUGAAAGACGGUUUUGCUGUCACUUAUAGAUGGAUCCGCGCCGCAUUAGCUAGUUGGUAAGGUAACGGCUUACCAAGGCAACGAUGCGUAGCCGACCUGAGAGGGGGAUCGGCCACUGGGAAAGUGAAACGCGGCCAAGACCCAAAGGGGGGGGAAGGAGGGGGACUUUGCCGAAAGGGGCAAAAGUGUGAGGGAAAAGCGCCGCGUGGGAAAAGAGGUUUUUCGGAUUGAAAACCUCUUUUUUGAGGAAAAAAAAAAUGUGAAAGUAAAUAUCCCAGAUUGGAGGGAACUAAAUAAAAAGGCCCCGCUAAACUAGUG
rnacentral:rRNA from 1 species